GGAUGGGUGGCCGAGCGGUUGAAGGCACCGGUCUUGAAAACCGGAGACGGCGCGAGCCGUCCGUGGGUUCGAAUCCCACCCCAUCCGCCA
rnacentral:tRNA from 1 species